GUCUGGAAAGUCCGACGAUACAGGGUGAUAGUCCCGUAGUUGUAGACGCAUGUUCAGUGAAAUCGAGUAGGGCGGGACACGUGUUAUCCUGUCUGAAUAUGGGGGGACCAUCCUCCAAGGCUAAAUACUCCUGACUGACCGAUAGUGAACCAGUACCGUGAGGGAAAGGCGAAAAGAACCCCUGUGAGGGGAGUGAAAUAGAACCUGAAACCGUGUACGUACAAGCAGUAGGAGCACCUUCGUGGUGUGACUGCGUACCUUUUGUAUAAUGGGUCAGCGACUUAUAUUCAGUGGCAAGGUUAACCAUCUAGGGGAGCCGUAGGGAAACCGAGUCUUAACUGGGCGCCAUAGUCUCUGGAUAUAGACCCGAAACCGAGUGAUCUAGCCAUGGGCAGGUUGAAGGUUGAGUAACAUCAACUGGAGGACCGAACCGACUAAUGUUGAAAAAUUAGCGGAUGACUUGUGGCUAGGGGUGAAAGGCCAAUCAAACUCGGAGAUAGCUGGUUCUCCCCGAAAGCUAUUUAGGUAGCGCCUCGGACGAAUACUACUGGGGGUAGAGCACUGUUAAGGCUAGGGGGUCAUCCCGACUUACCAACCCUUUGCAAACUCCGAAUACCAGUAAGUACUAUCCGGGAGACACACGGCGGGUGCUAACGUCCGUCGUGGAGAGGGAAACAACCCAGACCGCCAGCUAAGGUCCCAAAUUACAGCUAAGUGGGAAACGAUGUGGGAAGGCUUAGACAGCUAGGAUGUUGGCUUAGAAGCAGCCAUCAUUUAAAGAAAGCGUAAUAGCUCACUAGUCGAGUCGGCCUGCGCGGAAGAUGUAACGGGGCUAAGUUGUAAACCGAAGCUGCGGCAAUGUUCUUUGAACAUUGGGUAGGGGAGCGUUCUGUAAGCCGUUGAAGGUGUGUUGUAAAGCAUGCUGGAGGUAUCAGAAGUGCGAAUGCUGACAUGAGUAACGACAAGGGGGGUGAAAAACCUCCCCGCCGGAAGACCAAGGGUUCCUGUCCAACGUUAAUCGGGGCAGGGUAAGUCGACCCCUAAGGCGAGGCCGAAAGGCGUAGUCGAUGGGAAACGGGUUAAUAUUCCCGUACUUCUUACAAUUGCGAUGGGGGGACGGAGAAGGCUAGGUGGGCCUGGCGACGGUUGUCCAGGUUCAAGUGCGUAGGCUGAGUGUUUAGGUAAAUCCGGACACUCUUAAGGCUGAGACACGACGUCGAGCUACUACGGUAGUGAAGUCAUUGAUGCCAUGCUUCCAGGAAAAGCCUCUAAGCUUCAGAUUGUAAGGAAUCGUACCCCAAACCGACACAGGUGGUCGGGUAGAGAAUACCAAGGCGCUUGAGAGAACUCGGGUGAAGGAACUAGGCAAAAUGGUACCGUAACUUCGGGAGAAGGUACGCUCUUGAUGGUGAAGUCCCUUGCGGAUGGAGCUGACGAGAGUCGCAGAUACCAGGUGGCUGCAACUGUUUAUUAAAAACACAGCACUGUGCAAAAUCGUAAGAUGACGUAUACGGUGUGACGCCUGCCCGGUGCCGGAAGGUUAAUUGAUGGGGUUAGCGUAAGCGAAGCUCUUGAUCGAAGCCCCGGUAAACGGCGGCCGUAACUAUAACGGUCCUAAGGUAGCGAAAUUCCUUGUCGGGUAAGUUCCGACCUGCACGAAUGGCGUAAUGAUGGCCACGCUGUCUCCACCCGAGACUCAGUGAAAUUGAAAUCGCUGUGAAGAUGCAGUGUACCCGCGGCUAGACGGAAAGACCCCGUGAACCUUUACUACAGCUUGGCACUGAACAUUGAACCUACAUGUGUAGGAUAGGUGGGAGGCUUUGAAGACGUGACGCCAGUUGCGUUGGAGCCGUCCUUGAAAUACCACCCUUGUAUGUUUGAUGUUCUAACGUUGGCCCCUAAUCGGGGUUGCGGACAGUGCCUGGUGGGUAGUUUGACUGGGGCGGUCUCCUCCCAAAGAGUAACGGAGGAGCACGAAGGUGGGCUAAUCACGGUUGGACAUCGUGAGGUUAGUGCAAUGGCAUAAGCCCGCUUAACUGCGAGAAUGACGGUUCGAGCAGGUGCGAAAGCAGGUCAUAGUGAUCCGGUGGUUCUGAAUGGAAGGGCCAUCGCUCAACGGAUAAAAGGUACUCCGGGGAUAACAGGCUGAUACCGCCCAAGAGUUCAUAUCGACGGCGGUGUUUGGCACCUCGAUGUCGGCUCAUCACAUCCUGGGGCUGAAGUCGGUCCCAAGGGUAUGGCUGUUCGCCAUUUAAAGUGGUACGCGAGCUGGGUUUAGAACGUCGUGAGACAGUUCGGUCCCUAUCUGCCGUG
rnacentral:rRNA from 1 species